rnacentral:lncRNA from 1 species
CUUGAAGCAAGUUAGCUAGAAUUGGGUUAUUUAUGAGAAGACAUAACUAAUAUGCCUAAAAAAAAUAGAUAGCAAUGACCAAUUAGCCACAAUGUUGAAUUUCAGUGUAUAAGAAUCAUCACCAAAUGUUCUAUUACCAUGGUCUUAUUAUGUGUUGCCCUGUCGGAAGGAUCAUUAGUGCUAAAGAGAGAUUUAAUUCAAUUUAUUGAUGGCGAGGCCAUUAAACCUUUGAUAUCAGUUGUAGUCUGUGCAUCAGAUUUCUUAGCUGAGAAUGGAUUUCUUAUGGGGAAUAAUAGAGGAUAAUGAAGAUAGAAACAAUUACGGAAACUAGGGUCCAGUGACUAUCAGCACAUCAAUAUUUGCAUUUUAGGCCCCAAGGAACCACACAGAGGACAUCUGCCUUAUUAGCAAGACUUCAUGAGCCAUAAAGGAUUUUGUUUGCAUUAAUCAUUGUGUAACAAAAUGUCAUAGGAACUAAGCCCAUUUGCCUUUUUCAGCCACCUGUCUCCUGGCAGAAACAGGUGUGCUGUGCAGGUAAUGUUCUCAGUGUAAAGAAGCACUGACCAAAGAAAGGCCAUGAGAGAAAUAUGCUUACAACAGAGAAGCUAAAACAAUGACAGCUUGGCCAUUAGCAAAGCUCUAUGCCUUGAUCAGGUUGAAAAUAUGCUGGCACAGCCAGCAUCAGCUCCAGCCAAGUCAUGGAUGUGCAGAGGGGCCCAGCAGUAUGGAAUGCAAAGCAACUCCACAAAGUAAGUUCAAAGUGAUUUCAAAACUUCCCAGAAGUGGUGCCAUAAUUUCUGGGCAGUGGCUCAGGUAUGAAAGUUCUUAUUUCAAAUGAAUCUGUCCAGUAAUUCCUG